AUUGUUACUAUAAGUUAAUUAAAAUUUAAUUUUAUAAAUAUCUUACGAUCCUACCGUGGAAGACUGUCCUCGUAGAUUUCAAAAAUGAAAAUUCGAACGCGAUAACUGUAAGAAAAUCUUAAAAACUGCUAUAUAAAAAUGUAAAAAUAUUAAGGAUUGCACAAAACUAUAGUGUUAGAAAACUAAGAACAUGUAUGACUAUAAAAAAAUAAUAAACGAAGAAAAAAGAACAAUAGAAUGGGGUAAGAUAUCACGAGAUUAAAGACUUAUAUAAAGGAGAACUAUAAUACAAUAGAGAUAUAAAGAGUUAAAUAUUAAGAGUUUUAUUGGAUUGUAUAUAUAGAUAUUUGUUAUAAUGCUCUUUUACGUUUGUUUGUUUAUAAAUUACAUUUGCACCUUGUGUAUGUAGUAAUAAAUACUUUAUUUCAAUCACA